CUAGAAACUUGUCAAGUGUCCAACAGACACAGGGUCUCCCUAUGUUGCCCAGGCUGGUAUCGAACUCUGUUGCCCAGGCUGGUAUUGAACUCCUGCGCUCAAGUGAUCCUCCUGCCUCAGCCUCCCAAAAUGCUGGGAUUACAGGUACAGGGUGAACUCCGAGACCAUCUCUCCUAUUCAUUUACAUCCUCAGAACUUAGCACGAUGUCUGACCAUAGUGGAUUUUCAAUAAGUAACUAUGGGUUGACAUGCAGGCUGGACAUACAGUGGGCCUCGAUUGCUUAGAAGCCAAACUGAACUCACCAAGAAAAGAAGACAGGAGAAACUUCUCAAGAGGAAUAUCUCCAAAUUGCAGGAUCGAAUACCAUAAGAGGAAUUCUGGACUGAAGAGUUAUGAAGUCAUUUCAGACACUUCCAGACAAUUUGUGUUAAUUAAAUUCUCACUGGUUGAGUUCCAUUCUACACUGGAAGAGCAUUUUUCCUGGAAAGGCUCCUCAAAAUGGACACCAUCAAGAGUCACCUCCUCAGUGAAGCCUUCCAUGGUUUCAUACCACCCAUCCCUAUCGGAAUGAAUGUAUCCUUGUUCUCCGUUAUCCCAGUAUUUUGCCUGGGCUUCUGUCACACUACUUUCAAUGUCUAUACCUCAGUUAUCGAAUCGAAAAACAAGAGUCAUCAGUCUCUAAGGUCCUUGCAAGCUUCAAAACUUUAUAUUUUUGUCAAUUACAACUGAAUAAAGCUGAACAACUUA
rnacentral:lncRNA from 1 species